UUUAGUAAGUGUGUUUUGCACUAUGAAGUCCGCUAAUGUUAUCAAAAAGCCACGAAAAAAUAAAACUGUUUCGGUUCUUAGGGAGCGGUUUAAUUUGCAUGUUCAUCAUUAUUUAGCUGUUGCCACUCCUCAUGGAUUGGUGCAUUUAGUAAGACCGAAAAGAACUUUAUUUGAAAGAAUAUUUUGGAUAAUUUGCAUAAUUUUGGUUGCAAUACCAUGCGUAAUCAUAAGUCGCCAAGCCUGGAACCGUUACAACAAUUCCCCAACUGUCAAUACACUCCUACGUAAUUAUCAACAAUGGCGUCAUUCUUUCCCUGCCGUCACAAUAUGCCCAUCAACUCCUCCAAACGAAGAUGCAGGCAACAAAUAUUGGAAAAAUUACAUCUUUCCAUUUUUUAGAGAGCAUGGUUAUGAUAUACCUGAAAUGAGGGACGAUGCCGAUAAUAUGCAAGACGAAAAUAUCACAACAACCCCACCAAGCUCCGAAAGCAUGGCUC